rnacentral:rRNA from 1 species
UAACGCGUGAGUAACCUGCCUUUCAGAGGGGGAGUAACGUUCUGAAAAGAAACGCUAAUACCGCAUGAGACUACAGAGCUGCAUGGCUCAGUGGUCAAAGGAGCAAUCCGCUGAAAGAUGGACUCGCGUCCGAUUAGAUAGUAGGCGGGGUAACGGCCCACCUAGUCGACGAUCGGUAGCCGGACUGAGAGGUUGAACGGCCACAUUGGGACUGAGACACGGCCCAGACUCCUACGGGAGGCAGCAUG